GCCUGGGUGGCUUAGUGGGUUAAGCAUCUGACUUCAGCUCAGGUCAUGAUCUCAGUCUGUGGGUUCGAGCCCUGGCU
rnacentral:tRNA from 1 species